rnacentral:rRNA from 1 species
GACGAACGUUGGCGGCGUGCUUAAUACAUGCAAGUCAACUGAAGCAGUGGUAGCAAUAUCGCUGUGGCGGUUGCGCACGGGUGAGUAACACGUAGGUAAUCUUCCUUCAGGUCUGGCAUUACUCCGGGAAACCUGGGCUAAUAGCCGAUGAUGCAGCGGCUCUACAUCGAGACGGUUGUUAAAGCUAUGGCGCCUGAAGAUGAGCCUGCGUCUGAUUAGCUAGUUGGCGGGGUAACGGCCGACCAAGGCAACGAUCAGUAGCUGGUCUGAGAGGAUGAUCAGGCAGAGUGGAAGUGAGACACGGUCUAGACUACUACGGGGGGCAGCAGGAAGGAAAAUUGCGCAAAGGGAGAAAUACUGAAGCAGCAACGCCGCGAGAGGGACGAAGGGCGGUUGGUUGGAAACCGCUGUAGUGAGAGAAAAAAAUCCCAAUCAAGGGGACAUGAUGGUAUCUGAAAAGUAAGCCCCGGCUAACUACGUG